CUGGACUACAUUACCCAGCGCGCUGCGCGGCCUGCCCCGCGCCGGGAGCGGCGCGGAGACGGGCGCGGUGCAUGCUGGGGCGGGUAGUCCUCGGGGUCCGCACCUGUGGCGGGACGGGUCCCGGCCGCUUGCCCCGGGCGCCCCCGCGGGGCCAUAGGUCUGCGGGAACGGCUAGGGGGCGACUGCAGCGGGGCGGCUAUGGCGCUCCACCGGGGACUGCCGGCCCUCCUGCGGCUGGGCGGCGGCUGUGCCUUGCGUAUAGAACCAGUGAAAAAAACCUAUGAAAUCUUCCAGAAAACCUUUCACCAAAACCAACACUGAACUCUCCAUUCGCUGGGACUUACAGAGUAAAGCCAAAAGUAGAGACUGAGGUCUAAAAAUGAAGGAUAUUGACAUGUGGAUUCAGACGUAGCACUGAACAAAAACACAUCCAGCCAUUGCCCAAGGAUACAGCAGUUUCCCUGCCUUUCCCUCGCCCUUGGACCUUACCGAUUCCAGCUGCAGCAAGAGUGCAGAAGACUCGGAGGCCCUAAUUCUAACACAAGCAACACUUUGCUCCCUGUAAUGUCAUUAUGGAGAGGGACAGUUCUCCACUACUGGAGAGGGGAGUCUUCUCCUCAUAUACGGCACAACACAGGGUCUCCACUGCACACUCUGAUACAGCAGGUAUACUUCCUUGCAAGCUGAUCUUUUUAAUCUGAUAACUUUAAAUAAGGUGAACUUUUCAGAAGACAUGCUUUAUUUAAAUAGUACAUAUUUUUGGUAAGAGAGAAGCUAUGUUAUAAAAAAGCCUGUGAAAGAUGCUUAUGGUAUGUUUUUAAAUGAGAAACAUCAGCAAAUAUGGAUCUCUAAAUACUAAAAUACUUAUGUAGUG